rnacentral:rRNA from 1 species
UCCAGACUCCUACGGGAGGCAGCAGUGGGGAAUAUUGCACAAUGGGGGAAACCCUGAUGCAGCGACGCCGCGUGAGCGAAGAAGUAUUUCGGUAUGUAAAGCUCUAUCAGCAGGGAAGAAAAAAAUGACGGUACCUGAGUAAGAAGCACCGGCUAAAUACGUGCCAGCAGCCGCGGUAAUACGUAUGGUGCAAGCGUUAUCCGGAUUUACUGGGUGUAAAGGGAGUGUAGGCGGCGCGUUAAGUCUGAUGUGAAAACCCGAGGCUCAACCACGGGAGUGCAUUGGAAACUGGCGGGCUGGAGUGCAGGAGGGGCAGGCGGAAUUCCUGGUGUAGCGGUGAAAUGCGUAGAUAUCACGCAGAACUCCGAUUGCGAAGGCAGCAUACCGGCGCCCGACUGACGCUGAGGCACGAAAGCGUGGGGAUCGAACAGGAUUAGAUACCCUCGUA